UACGAGUGCCUCAAGCGUUAUCCGGAAUCAUUGGGCGUAAAGGAUGUGUAGGUGGUUGUGUUAGUUUUCUGUUAAAUUCUUCGGCUUAACCGGGGGCAUGCAGGGGAAACGGCACGACUAGAGGAUGCGAGGGGUCUGCGGAACUCAUAGUGUAGCGGUGAAAUGCGUUGAUAUUAUGGGGAACACCAAAAGCGAAGGCAGCAGACUGGAGCACUCCUGACACUGAAACAUGAAAGCGUGGGUCGCGAAUGGG
rnacentral:rRNA from 1 species